rnacentral:ncRNA from 2 species
AAUAUAAAAAGAAUAAGAAUAUGAUGUUGGUUCAGAUUAAGCGCUAAAUAAGGACAUGACACAUGCGAAUCAUACGUUUAUUAUUGAUAAGAUAAUAAAUAUGUGGUGUAAACGUGAGUAAUUUUAUUAGGAAUAAUGAACUAUAGAAUAAGCUAAAUACUUAAUAAAUAUUAUAUAAAAAUAUAUUUAUAUAAUAAAAAAGAAUAUAUUAUAUAUAUUUAUCUAUAGUCAAGCCAAUAAUGGUUUAGGUAGUAGGUUUAUUAAGAGUUAAACCUAGCCAACGAUCCAUAAUCGAUAAUGAAAGUUAGAACGAUCACGUUGACUCUGAAAUAUAGUCAAUAUCUAUAAGAUACAGCAGUGAGGAAUAUUGGACAAUGAUCGAAAGAUUGAUCCAGUUACUUAUUAGGAUGAUAUAUAAAUAAUUUAUUUUUAUUUUUAUAAAUAAAUAAAUAAAUAAAUAAAUAAUAUAUAUAAAUUGAUUAAAAAUAAAAUCCAUAAAUAAUUAAAAUAAUGAUAUUAAUUACCAUAUAUAAUAAUGGAUAUAUAAUAAUUAUAAUAUUAAAUAUAUUAUAAUUUAAUUAUAUAUUUUAAUAGUCCUGACUAAUAUUUGUGCCAGCAGUCGCGGUAACACAAAGAGGGCGAGCGUUAAUCAUAAUGGUUUAAAGGAUCCGUAGAAUGAAUUAAUUAUAUAAUUUAGAGUUAAUAAAUUUAAUUAAAGAAUUAUAAUAGUAAAGAUGAAAUAAUAAUAAUAAUUAUAAGACUAAUAUAUGUGAAAAUAUUAAUUAAAUAUUAACUGACAUUGAGGGAUUAAAACUAGAGUAGCGAAACGGAUUCGAUACCCGUGUAGUUCUAGUAGUAAACAAUGAAUACAAUUAUUUAUAAUAAAAUAUAUAUAUAUAAAUAAUAAAUGAAAAUGAAAGUAUUCCACCUGAAGAGUACGUUAGCAAUAAUGAAACUCAAAACAAUAGACGGUUACAGACUUAAGCAGUGGAGCAUGUUAUUUAAUUCGAUAAUCCACGACUAACCUUACCAUAUUUUGAAUAUUAUAAUAAUUAUUUUAAUUAUUAUAUUACAGGCGUUACAUUGUUGUCUUUAGUUCGUGCUGCAAAGUUUUAGAUUAAGUUCAUAAACGAACAAAACUCCAUAUAUAUAAUUUUAAUUAUAUAUAAUUCUAUAUUAUUUAUUAAUAUAAAGAAAGGAAUUAAGACAAAUCAUAAUGAUCCUUAUAAUAUGGGUAAUAGACGUGCUAUAAUAAAAUGAUAAUAAAAUUAUAUAAAAUAUAUAUAAAAUAUAUUUAAUUAAUAAUAUAAAACAUUUUAAUUUUUAAUAUAUUUUUAUAUUAUAUAUUAAUAUGAAUUAUAAUCUGAAAUUCGAUUAUAUGAAAAAAGAAUUGCUAGUAAUACGUAAAUUAGUAUGUUACGGUGAAUAUUCUAACUGUUUCGCACUAAUCACUCAUCACGCGUUGAAACAUAUUAUUAUCUUAUUAUUUAUUAAUAAUUUUUAAUAACCUUUUUAUUAAUUAAUAUUAAUAUAUAUCAGAAAUAAUAUGAAUUAAUGCGAAGUUGAAAUACAGUUACCGUAGGGGAACCUGCGGUGGGCUUAUAAAUAUCUUAAAUAUUCUUACA